ACCCAGACUCCUACGGGAGGCAGCAGUGGGGGAUAUUGCACAAUGGGGGAAACCCUGAUGCAGCGACGCCGCGUGAGUGAAGAAGUAUUUCGGUAUGUAAAGCUCUAUCAGCAGGGAAGAAAAUGACAGUACCUGACCAAGAAGCCCCGGCUAACUACGUGCCAGCAGCCGCGGUAAUACGUAGGGGGCAAGCGUUAUCCGGAUUUACUGGGUGUAAAGGGGGCGCAGACGGCGAUGCAAGCCAGGAGUGAAAGCCCGGGGCCCAACCCCGGGACUGCUCUUGGAACUGCGUGGCUGGAGUGCAGGAGGGGCAGGCGGAAUUCCUGGUGUAGCGGUGAAAUGCGUAGAUAUCAGGAGGAACACCGGUGGCGAAGGCGGCCUGCUGGACUGCAACUGACGUUGAGGCCCGAAAGCGUGGGGAGCAAACAGGAUUAGAUACCCCAGUAAC
rnacentral:rRNA from 1 species